rnacentral:lncRNA from 1 species
GAAUGGAGGCCGGCUCAAAGGGUUUGCAAAGGGUUGAUAGUGUUUGGGUAGCGAGAAUGAAAGCCUUCGUCAUCCCAAUUGGAGAAUAUUAGUACUAUAUGGAGGAUCCAACAUAGUACCUUUUGACUGUAUUUGCAUUGACAGUUAUUUCAGGGACAUUUCUUUCAAUGUGUCCCAAGUGCAACACACUCUUUUGGCAGUACUCUUGUUGCAAUGUACGAAUCUUUCCAAUCUGGGAACCAAUUUUCCUUCAGUUGUUCCAACUCUUUGUUUUAUUUCCUUAAACUUUAUCUUCAUUGCGAUCUAAUCCUUGAUUCAUUAUUUCGAGGCCUAACAACUUUCAGGAUCUGGGCAUGAAGUCCGCAAGCAUGUCAUGUUAUUGAAAUCUACAUUUAACAGAACUAAAAAGAGAAUAAGAAAGAAAAAUGACAAGAUUAAGAAAAGAGAUAUUCCUAGAAAAUGAAAUAUUAAUUUCAUUUGAUUUUUUUUUGAUUUUUUUUUUGAUUUUUUUUUUACAAUUUUUUGAAGAUAGAAGUGUUUGCAUCAGAAAGUAAGACAAUAAGGUAAAACAUCCGGAUCACACCUUGAGAUAAUCCGGAUGCAGAAAGGAUAAGACUGGACACUAAGACUCCCAUUUGAUGGGGAACUUUCAUGUUUGGCGACCAUUUUUGGCUUUUCUUCUAUCUCGGCAAAGGCUGCAACGGCCUUCGGUGCCGGAUCAAAUUCCUCAGCUUCACAAAUCAUUCUGACCAUUGGCCCAAU